CCCGUGCACCACCUACCUCCGCCGCCGCCCAGCCCCACCACCUACCCGCCCACCACCUACCUUCCGUGCAGCCCUGUCCCCUCCCUGGUCUGCACGUCGACCAGAUAUGAUGGCCCCGAACGAGCCGCACCGCCCCAACUCUCAUCUGCGUAGCAACUGGAUCUGAGCUGCCCCCACACCGCCGUCCACAUAAGGCAGGGCCGACGCUGCCCCACCCAGGCCACCCACCACGAGAUCCAGCGCGUCGCCGCAUCAACACCCACACCUCGGGCACGCUGAAUCGAGGUCGAUGCGGGUCAAAGGCACGCCGAGGACGAGCAGCAGGCCGAGUGAUUAGUGCCGGAUGUCACCGGAUCCGUCCCGGCGGGAUCCAUAUCGCAGGUGUGGGGGUGGGCACAGGGACGAGGAAGUGUGCUCCCUCGGGCAUCCAACUGGCGAGAUCCGGAUCCCCCGGUGGCCAUCGGGUCCUUGCUGGCCUCUUGGACCGAUGAUGUCCACCCACUGCAUAUGUCGCUGCUGCUACGUGACAGUGAGGUCAGGACCACGAUGCCGUGCAGUUCCGUAGGCCAUGCAGCUCAUGAUGAGCAACUUGUAGUUUGAUGCGGCUGGUGCGGCGUUCCACGUGUCCCCUGGCACCCUUACCUGCAGUCUGAUGACCACCACCAUGGAGCCCGCGACCACGACCGUGCAGUUAACUUCCUGUCGCAGUUCAGUAAGUGGCGGCUCAACGACCACCAUCUGCCUUGCGUGGCCUGCCUUGACAGAGCUCCGACGAGCACCUUCCAACGGCGUGAUCCUCUAGCGAGCUCACCCGCGAGGGCCUCUGGCGAGAUCCUUCACCCCCCUCGACCACCUUCUUCUGUAAAAUCGAGUAGCCAAUCUCCUGCAGUUUUGUGGGUGCCACACUACUGCGUGCAUGCAUCCCGUUUCCUGCUCCUCUCCACCCUCCCUAGAGUAGAAGGCAUGCAGCUUGCCGGGUGCUGGCGUGUGUUUUUGCAGGUCCUACCAUCCUAGCAACUGAUUGGUCACCCCUUUUCAGCGAGCACUACGUGCAGUGCGGGUGACGAACCUCACUUGCAGCUCUCUCCUCCACUCCUUGUUGUUCGCGGGAAGCAGGGGACAAGCGCACUGCACUAGCGGUGGCCGGUGUAAUACUUUUUUUAAGUAGUUCAUCUUAUUAUGUCUUCCUUUAGUAGUCAUCUUGCUGUAUGUUUUAGUUUGACCAUGUUUAUGCAUGCAGCUCUUUGCUGGUUUGGGUGCAGCUCGCAGGCAUUUGUGUAUGCAGAUGUUUUCUUGUCUAGAGAGAAUCGGCAGUACCCGAAUUUGGCGUGUGACUACGGUCCACGGGACAGGGACCUGCAGCUCUCUCUCCCUCUCGUGGAAGUACAUCACGAGCAAAAGGUGCCUGGAGGUGGGCGAGGUCCUGGCCUUCGAACUCCCUGUGCCUCCUCCCUUCUACUAAAGUCAUUGGUCGCUGGCGUGAUGCUGGACCAGGCGACGAGGGCACUGGAUGGGUCAUGCUCUUUUGCACUCGAGCGCAUGUGGUCUUGUAGUCCGCAACGUGCAAUCCCGCAGCUCGGCCCUCGCAUGCGUGCACUUCAUGUUUUUUCCUUACAAACAUGUACUGCAUCCCUGCCCACAAGCAUCACUAAAGCAGAAGCUGCGCCCCACGGGUGAAAGUUGGCCAGUUGGGGGUAUGGUGUUUGGUCAUGGUGGCUGCUGACAUUGGUUAGAGGUAGUCCACGACGGAGUCUAUGUCCAAACAGACUGGAUAAUAUUGGUUUUCAUUUUAGGUCCUUUUUUGCAAUUUAUCCUGGUAUAUAGAAGUUCAUUUUAGUGGUCUUGGUUGUACA